rnacentral:rRNA from 1 species
CCUACGGGAGGCAGCAGUGGGGAAUAUUGCACAAUGGGCGGAAGCCUGAUGCAGCAACGCCGCGUGAGGGAUGAAGGCCUUCGGGUUGUAAACCUCUUUUAGCAGGGAAGAAGCGAAAGUGACGGUACCUGCAGAAAAAGCACCGGCUAACUACGUG